CUGAUGGACUGGUUUGGCUGUACCUUCAUAGAAGUUCUGGGAGAAGAUCGAGCAAAGGGGUCUGGUGCUGGAGGUUUCUUGGGUAUUUUUUUCACCAGUCGGCUCACCCAUUUUUGCUGUUCUUCUGUAGAAUUAGCUAACAGUAGUAGAUUCUUUGCCGUUGAAAUAUCGUAAUACACUUUGCAAGGUGCUAUAAUCUCUUCUUUUUUAUCCAUAUGAUCUUUGUGACAUUUGAUAUGGCAACGGCGACAUUCUAGAGCAGGAGGAGGUUUAAACAUAUGCCAAAGAGGCUUCAUACAAGCUUCACAAUUGGUUGGAAAGUGAUAAAGAGUAGGUAUAAACUCAUGUCCUUUGUGACAAAUAUAAUUUGACUUCUCUCCCAUAGGCUCCACAGGAAAUUCCUGCUCCUUUUUGCUCUCUCCUUCAUUAGCAUACAGAAUCUGGAAUAUCCUUGGAAUUUCCUUGGCAUCUGCUCUGUACACAUCAGUCUGGGUGACUGGUCGGACAUGGAACAGUUUGUCUAUGUCUAAUACCAUAUAGGGAUUAGAUUGUUCUUUAUCUUGUUCACUGUCAUAGAACAGGAUCUUCUUACUGCUUACAAUUACAUACUUUUUAACCCAACCAAAUUUUUUAGUGUUAUUUCGAACAGGUAGUGAUAACCAGCCUUCCAAUCUUGAUUCAGGGAAUCCAUCAUCUGCCUCAGCAUCUCCAGGUCCGCUGCCUAUGCUACUGUUGUCUAGGCCAAUAUGUAGUGAUUGUAGUUGUGACCGAAGCUGUUCAAUGUCACUGUCUUUGCUGUCCAGAGUCAUCUGGAGUUCAAUUCGUAUCUGACUCUCUUCUGCUAUUUGUGCCUGCAUUUCAUUGAUUUCUUUCUGAUAUUUGAUCAUCAUUUGUGUUAACUUCUCUCGUUCAGAUUUCAGUUCCAUAUGCAGUUUCCUAUUUUCCUUUUCCUUCCGCCGUACAUCGGUGUCAGCUCCACGUUUGACUGGACCCUUCCGAUUCAUGAUCUCAGCCAAUUUAUUCACAGCCUGGGUUUUCAGUGUUCUUUCAUUCAGCAGUUGUUUCUCAAACUGUGCUUUAAUAUUUCCUAUAUUUGCUUCUUCUUCUUUCAACUUUGUAAUUUGUUCUUGUUCUUCCUUCAGUUUGUUGUUUAGUUCUUCUUUCUCAUUAGCAAGGUUAGCCACAUCGCUUGUUAGUGUUCUGUUUGCUUCCUCCAAAGAGGCUAUGGUGGCAUCCUUCUCAGCAAGUUCCUGUUUAUGCCGAGCCAUCAUUUCUUUAAUCUCCAGUUCCUUCAUAAUCUUCUCUUUUUCCAAAUCGGAGUACUGUUCUUCAGCAAUGGAACGUGCAAGUUGUUCUGAAUCUGCUUUUGUCAAAGUGAUUUCUAGCUGUGCUGCCAAGGAAUCUCUCUCGUCCUGUAACUCUUGUAUCUUUUGCUGCAUCUCUUUACAAAGUUUGGUCUUUUCCUCACAUUCUUCUUUAAGUUCUCGAACUUGCGUCUUAUACAGAGUCGAGAAAUACUGUUCAGCUUCAAGUUGGUCUUGAAGCUCUUUCAUUUGUCCAUCUGCAUCUUGACGUUCUUUGCGGAGUUCAUUGUUUUGUUUCUCCAGG
rnacentral:lncRNA from 1 species